rnacentral:rRNA from 1 species
UACGGAGGGUGCAAACGUUGCUCGGAAUCAUUGGGCGUAAAGCGCACGUAGGCGGCCUGACAAGUCGGGUGUGAAAGCCCUGGGCUCAACCCAGGAAGUGCACUCGAAACUGCCAGGCUUGAAUAUGGAAGAGGGUCGCGGAAUUCCCGGUGUAGAGGUGAAAUUCGUAGAUAUCGGGAGGAACACCAGUGGCGAAGGCGGCGACCUGGGCCAAUAUUGACGCUGAGGCACGAAAGCGUGGGGAGCAAACAGG